CAGGGCCCGAUGAGCAGUUAGUCCGUGUUUAGUCGCGCUCCCUGUUGUGUUUAAAUUUAACAGGGUUUGCGACAGACACUGAUUCGCUGCCCAAAGUCGCCGUU
rnacentral:pre_miRNA from 1 species